CAUUUUAUAUUCUAAGAUAAGAUUUUAAAUUGCAAAUUUAAAGAUGCCCUUGGUAUAUAAGGGCUAAUAUGU
rnacentral:tRNA from 1 species